GAUGAACGCUGGCGGCGUGCUUAACACAUGCAAGUCGAACGAUGAAGCCCAGCUUGCUGGGUGGAUUAGUGGCGAACGGGUGAGUAACACGUGAGUAACCUGCCCUUAACUCUGGGAUAAGCCUGGGAAACUGGGUCUACUACCGGAUAGGAGCGUCCACCGCAUGGUGGGUGUUGGAAAGAUUUAUCGGUUUUGGAUGGACUCGCGGCCUAUCAGCUUGUUGGUGAGGUAAUGGCUCACCAAGGCGACGACGGGUAGCCGGCCUGAGAGGGUGACCGGCCACACUGGGACUGAGACACGGCCCAGACUCCUACGGGAGGCAGCAGUGGGGAAUAUUGCACAAUGGGCGCAAGCCUGAUGCAGCGACGCCGCGUGAGGGAUGACGGCCUUCGGGUUGUAAACCUCUUUCAGUAGGGAAGAAGCGAAAGUGACGGUACCUGCAGAAGAAGCACCGGCUAACUACGUG
rnacentral:rRNA from 1 species